UGUAAGUACCUCUUCUUCGUUCAUUUUGUCAGUAAAAGAAAAUACUAUCUAAUAAUUCUAUUCCUCCCCACCUCCACUUUUAAAUGAGACUCUUGGAAUUAAAAACGAAUCCACUUGCCUUAUUUAAAAAUCAGAAAAUACGGAUAAGCAAUAUAUUAAAAUAUUCUAUCAAUGUUAACCUCACCAUCAAAAAUGUUUUUAAUAUAAGAUUAUACUCCGUGAUAUACAUAAGUGUAUAUAAAUAUUUGCAAAUAUAUGGUAUACUUCUGAACAUGAUUAAGAAUAAAAUCCUAAACAUCCAGUUUCCCCCUCCACUUUUAUUUUCAUUUAGGAAUUCAAAGACGUCUAUUACAAUUCUUACACAAAUUGACAAGUGAAAAAAAUUAGUUUGGUGUAAUUUUUUUUUUUAACGGAGGGAGGGAGCAAUUUCACUGUGUAGCCCAGCCCUCAGGAGAGUUCAGAAAUUCGCUAUCAGUCCCAGCAAGAAAACUUUCGGUUUAAGGUUUUGUUUUCAGUAUUUGUUUUUUUCCACAAGAAUUGUUAACAAAUGUCCAAGUUCUUGGGAGUCUUAAGGGUGCACACUGCAAUCUAAAAGAUAAGAAUGUUCUGGUAAAACAGCUCUGCUUCACAAACAAGAUCCUCCCAGUUUCUUUCUUUAAAUAUGUGGGGAAUUGCAGGCAUAAAAGUGAAGUGCAGUCUACUCACCGCCAACUUCAACAGUUACAUGCUCAGCAUCAUUUCAUCUUUAGUCCUGUAUGCAGCGCUAAAAGAGUGUCUCCAAGGAUCCAGUCCAAAUAUCCCAACACUGGCUGUCUCAUGCAUGGAAGGCUGAGAACCCUGUAGUUGCUCAGUACAAGAGGCUGGACAUCUCAGAAGCUCUCAUCUGGCACUGGAGGCCUGGAGGAUUUCUGGAAAGCUGCUGGUCUUCAAUCUAUAUGUGAACAGCCAACUGCCAGUUCCUUCCUGCUUCUGCCAUCCACCUGCUUCUUGCUUUUAUGGACUAUCCCUCUGGAAAGGAUAUGACUGACUCUCAGCUGCUGUUCCUGUGCUAUCCUGCCUGUCUGUUGCCAUGCUCCCCACCUGACAGCGAUGGACUCCUAUCCCCUGAAACUGAUUUACACCCACAGUUUAAGAAGCUUUGAUUUAAAUCACAGACUUCCUUAUGCCAGUUGUCUGGUAAGGUCACUGCAUCUUCUUGCCCUGUCUUCCUUCAAAUAUGGACUACACUGAAUGCUCCUACUGACAAAUAGCCUUUGGGAAAGAGAUAAUGGAUACAAAGAUCCCCCCCAGAGGCCCAAGACCUCUACUUAGGGAACUAAAGACAGAAGGGAACUAAUGCUCUUGCUUCAGCCUUGGCUCAUCUGGACCUCUGGGUAGGCGACUCUACCUUACCAGCGCAGUUAAUGUCACAGAAGCCACUGUGAAGUCACUGGCAGGGUGUGCAACACAGAAAUGCAAACAGGAGACAGAAUUCUUUUCCAGUUUUGUGACCUUUAUUAUUGGAACUGCCAUUAGGGAAGCUGGAAUGGGCUCACUGCUGCUGCUGUCCCAAGCCCUGGUCUCUGUCUCAGCUUCCUACUCUGGAUCUUACUAAAUGGAUUUGGCUUCAAAGAUGA